CCCUCUUUCCAUCCAAAUUAUUACUGAGGUAUCUUUGCUUUGUCAGUGAUUGGAUUUCUGUGGGCCACUUUGCGGCUUGUCACCCAUCCACCAUCGUUUCUGUCCUCCGAGUCGAGCAGAAACCUCAUCGUGACUCUUAAAGAACAGAGAGAGGAUUAGGCCUGACUGAAGGGGAUAGGCCUCCUUCAGGAAAGCAAGGAUGGUUGCAUCAAAAUGUCAUUAAUAGAAGCUUCCACUAGCCAUCAUGCAGGGCACUGUGCUCAGUAGUUUGCACACAUCAUGUGGCAUUCCUUUUACAGACCAUGAUAGAGGAGAGAAGUGGAAUCCAGUAAUUAAUUAUAGCAUCAGAAC
rnacentral:lncRNA from 1 species